GACGAACGCUGGCGGCGUGCUUAACACAUGCAAGUCGAACGAUGAACCGGAGCUUGCUCUGGGGAUUAGUGGCGAACGGGUGAGUAACACGUGGGCAACCUGCCCCAGACACCGGGAUAACCAUUCGAAAGGAUGGCUAAUACCGGAUACGACCACUUCGGGCACACGAUGGUGGUGGAAAGGAGUCUGGUCUGGGAUGGGCCCGCGGCCUAUCAGCUUGUUGGUGGGGUAAUGGCCUACCAAGGCGACGACGGGUAGCCGGCCUGAGAGGGCGACCGGCCACACUGGGACUGAGACACGGCCCAGACUCCUACGGGAGGCAGCAGUGGGGAGUAUUGCGCAAUGGGCGAAAGCCUGACGCAGCGACGCCGCGUGAGGGACGAAGGUCUUCGGAUUGUAAACCUCUUUCAGCAGGGAUGAAGCGAAAGUGACAGUACCUGCAGAAGAAGCACCGGCUAACUACGUGCCAGCCGCCGCAGUAAAAC
rnacentral:rRNA from 1 species